AGAGUCAUCAAUUUAUACAUACCCAGUCUUAUGAAUGUAACAGUUUUAAUAAACAUAAUAAACUUUAACAACGGAUCUCUUGGUUCUCGCAUCGAUGAAGAACGCAGCGAAAUGCGAUAAGUAAUGUGAAUUGCAGAAUUCAGUGAAUCAUCGAAUCUUUGAACGCACCUUGCGCUCCUUGGUAUUCCGAGGAGCAUGCCUGUUUGAGUGUCAUGAAACUCUCAACCUUCAACUUUUUUAUUAAGGCUGAAGGCUUGGACUUGAGCGCUGCUGGUUUUCACUAACCGGCUCGCUUGAAAUGAAUUAGCAGAUCCUUUUUGUAAUCGGUUCCACUCGACGUGAUAAGUAUUUCGCCGAGGACAUAUGAAAGUAUGGCCGAGAUAAGGAAAGUCUUUAGAUCCGCUUCUAAUUCUUAGAUCAAGCUUGCUUGACUAAACCCCAUUUUAUGAUCUGGCCUCAAAUCAGGUAGGACUACCCGCUGAACUUAA
rnacentral:rRNA from 1 species